rnacentral:lncRNA from 1 species
AUCUAUGACUCCAUCGUCGAACUGAUCGCCGAUCGUCGAAUCUAUGACUCCGUCGCCGAACUGAUUGUCGAUCGUCGAACCAACGGUUUGAUCGUCGAUCGCCGAAUCUACGACUCCGUCACCAAACUGAUCGCCGAUCAUCGAACCAACGGCUCGAUUGCCGAUCAUCGAAUCUACAACUUCGUCGUCGAACAAAUCG